rnacentral:snRNA from 1 species
AUCGCUUCUCGGCUUUUUGUCUUCAGAUCAAGUGUA